UCAACUGACCCUGGUGCUUCUGAAAGCUCAGGACGUGAUUUCCACCGUGCACUGGAGGACACAGGCAGAAGAGCAGUCUGAACUGAAGGACUUGAUUGACAUCACGUGUCCUUCGAGAGAAAAGCAUGUGCUUGUGACUGUGGCAGCUUCAGGGGCCGGAUAGGGACAAGUGCUCAGUGAUGGUGACGCUUCACAGAGAACAUUUCCCAGCAGCACCCUCACAAAAGGGCCAAGGGUGCUGCUGCCUCCGCACCCUCAGGUCUUCCGAUGGGUGGGCUUGUGUAUUCUGUUUUGGUUCUUGUUUUUCCUGUGCUAGGGAUCAGACCCAGGACCUGUUACAUGCUAGGCACGCACUGUACACUGAGGCACAUCCCCAUCCUUUUCUAAAAAUAUUUUCAGCCUGAGACAGGGUCUUGCAGAGUUGCUCAGGGCGCUGCUACAUUGCUGAGGCUGGCCUCGAGUCUGUGGUCCUCCUGCCCUGGCCUCCCGAGUAGCUGGGCUCCCAGGCUGGCCACAGCUCCUCUCCACCUGGGGCCUUCACACGGUCUUACUCUUCGAUUCUGAUUCCGUAACAAACCCCUUUGACGUAAAUCACAGUAGAACCAUGGAGCAGCUGAGUGCCUUCUCCUGUCCUUGUAGACAGGGCCGGGAUCUGAUUUCACCCCCAGCGUGACCUGGGGGGACCCUGAUCCCGCACAGCUCAGCACAGUGACUUCCGCUCUCCUGUCUGACGGGAAGCAGGCGAGGAGGGGAGCCCUUUCCACCACUUCAGCAGGAGGCCGGUCCUGAAAGGAGCCCUUCCUGACUGAGAAGAGGCUGCAGAGCCUCUCCACGUGGCUCUGAUCAAUUACGACACCACAUGGGACACUGCUCAGCCACUGGGUGAGAAGAGGAAUUCGACCCCAAGCACCAGUUGAACAAGAUCAUUCUGCAUUAUUCCAGAUGAUUUCAUUCCGAGAGAAGGUGCCCUGGCGCUCGAGGAAACGCUCCCGGGAUGUGAAACGGGCAGGACGCCUAAUUAGCUUUCAAGAUGUCUAUACUGGAGUUCAAGUGGCCAGAGAAGAAUUCACAAGCUUCCGUGUGAAUCAGUGCCAUGGCUAGGUUCCAGUGACAGCACCGCCAUUCUCACUUUCAUGCCUCAGAUUCCUGCCAGAACGUCUUGGUAGAUCAAGACCCUCUUCCCAAGCUUCUCCAGUGGAUUUCCCUGGACUCUGUUCCCUGAUGGCCACGUCUGGAUCGACAGCAGCAUUUCUACCCAUUUAUUUUGUCAAGUGCUCCAUGAAUAUUAAAGAGCAUCCAGGGACGAUCUGUGGCCCUGUCCUCUCCUUUCAUAGAAAUGGCACCGUGGGCUGCACAACUCAGCCAAGACUCUUCUUCAGUGAGGCAUGGACGUGGGACUGAGUUCUGAUCACCAGGACACAAGCAAAAUUCACUCUGCAACUUCAGUGACGUGUCCUUGGGGGAGCAGGUCACGCAUCCCUCUUCCUUCUGGACGGGCCACCCAGACUGAGUGGUCUCAACAGUGGAAGCCCCAGGUUCCUGACACCCUGAAGAGCCAAAGUAGCCCGGCACUAUCUCUCUCUGGAAUUUUACUCUCAUCUGGUUUAAGACAUUAAGAUAGUGAUAUUUUAGAAUUUCCUGUCAUUCCUGAUCAAACAUGAUCUUAACGGAUCUGAGGUCCCAUGUCUUUGGGACAUUCUGCACAUCUCCUCUCCAGUACCACCAGGGGACAUUGGCAUAUGAAGACUCCAGAGGUAUCCACAGAAAAUGGCCUUUUUGAGGUGGUUUAAUCCUCUGCUCUCCCAGGGUCUUCGUUUUUCUUGAUACGUUACAAGGAGGGUGGCUGUUGUGGCGACGAAAUGUAAUUCUUCCCAAACCUUCAUGAAUUCAAGGUUGGGAAAAACCCACGGGACAAGGCAGAUUCACAAGAGAAAAGCCAGCAAGUUAAUUAACACACACAUGCCCACCACGCAGGGGAACCUCAGGGACAGACAAGCCAAAGCGGUGACCUGGAACUCUGGCUCACACAGCACCUUCAACCCAGAGCAACCCUUGUGUUGAGGAACCACAGGAUGGAGGGAAACAGCUUUAGGCUCCAAAGCCAAGACACUGUGGGAAGUGAAUGUAUGAAGAAACAACUGAGCAGACUUCAACCUCUUGACUCUAAAGCAAUGGAAAAAAAGGUCAGAGACUCUUUACGUAACUCUACAAACUUGUUGAAUGAAUAACUGAGCUGCCUCUUCCCCUCUCUGAACACGGAGUUCCUGCCACCUAGAAAGCUCUCGGUCUGUGAAGGACUUAGAGAAUCUCCCAUAUUGGAAACUGUCACAGCAUGAGCCGGUUAUGUGCAGCUGAUGAUUUUUGAGGGCAAAGAUUUGUCUUUGUAGAUUUUAUCAGGUAAAACCCAGUUCCACUUAGAAAUCAACAUCAAAACUAAGAUUUUAUUUAAAUUUGUUUAUUCUCGUUUGAAUGAUUUCAUUUUAAUUCAAAGGGUGUUCUUGAUGGUAAGACAUAAAAACAAUCGCAUUUCUUUGUUUCAAUCCUCCUUUUCUUUCAUCCUAGUCAUUUCUAUAGAAACAGAGACUGAAAUGACGGGGAGCCUUCUGGAGAGUUUCUGGUAAGGCUACACCUACACCCUGCUGCAGGAAGCAGUCCCCACCUGGAGCCUUGGUAGCUAAGGACUUGAGGAGUGUUGCAGGGUUGCUCAUGUCCCAAGUCCCCGCAUAUCCCUCCAGGGACAGAGCUGUGGAUUCCAGGGCAGCUGUCAGAGGCCUGGCAUUUACAGCCACAUACACACUUGAACCUGUGUGAGUGAACAGGCACCGAGGUGGCCACAAGUCAGGUCCAGGCAGCGGGUGAGAAGAUAGUGCCCCCAAGGUGGAGGCCAGGAAUGUGUCAUUCAUCUGAUCAUCAAAUGACCCUGAGCAGCAGGCCCAGUGGCACUCACCGGUGAAGAAAGCCAGGCUCCGUAGCAAGUAGCAGAGCCCAGCUUUGAGCCACGUUAGGCCCGACCCCAAAGCUAACAGGACAGAUCCUUGAAGGACAGCUGGAUAAGCCCCACACCAGCAAGGAGGCCCACACUGACAACCAGACAGCUGCCAGGACCCAGAGCCACACGAGGAGGACCCAGAGCCACACGCGUCUUCCAGGUUUCAGCCACACUGUUGCUCCUCUCAUGAAUCCUGGGCCUUCCCCAUGGCGGCUAACCCUCGACUGGGAACGCUGGGGAGCACUGAGCAGCACUGGGGAGCAUGGGGUUCAACUUCCCUUCCCCAAAGCUGAUGGAAAGCAAAAGGGCAGAUUUAGGAUUUCUUGGAAAGAUUGGGGUGCCUGCAAGAGGAGACCGACAUUUAUAUCCCCACGAUAGGAACCUGCUUCAAGGGAGGGCGCUUUGCCUAGGCCAUGGUCCUGAAUGGGGGAGUGGAGAGAGAGCAUGGGGAGGCCUGCGGGCCUAACCAUGUGCUAAAGGAUGAGGACUGGGCUGCGUCUUGGCAAUGUGCAUGUAUGUGUGUGUGCAUGUGUGUGUGCGUGCACACGUGUGUGCCGGUGUGCACAUGUUUGCACGUGUGCAUAUGUGUGUGUUCUGGUGAAGAGGCAGGUGCACUGAGAGCUAAAUGCCACUCACUGAAGGUCACUUAGAAUCGGUGGCCAAGCUGGCCAGUGCCCAAGGGAGCUUCACCUGAAGAAGCCCCUUGUUGGCAAAAUAUACUGAGCUUCCACACGGCCUGUGUGGACACUGACCAGAAGUGUCCCACUCCAGGUCGGCCAGAAGAGAGAAGAUGCAGCUGGAGCCUCCUCAGUCCAUCAGACAGAUCUACCCUGAGGUAGAGGAAGGAGAAGACAAACCAGCAGGAUGCAGAGAGGGACUGACUCUCAAACGCCACUGUCAUGAGCUCAUUUCAGCAACCAAAGAGCUGAAGACUCACGCACAGCAGCCAAGGCAGGGCUGGGGAGCCAGUGCUGGAGGAAAGAUGGACGGAGCCAGCCCAUCUGGGAGGUGCCAACAGCACAACACCUGCCUCUGUCUCCCUCCACCCAGAGCUGCCCGGUUGCAGGCCCAGUCACACCUGCUCUCUUCUGUGUGUCCCAGUUAGGUGGCCAGCCAGGCUUAUCCCCCGCAUGUCACGGUCCUUCUUAAGACUUCGCCAGAUAACUGGGGCUCCUCAAAACUGUCAGAAGGGGCACCAAACCCCGCAGUCACCUCCCUGUGUGCUCCUGCCUGCCAGGUACCCACUUCUCAUCAACCUGACCGACGGCAGGUCCCCGCAUGCUUCUGUUGGCUGGAGCAACCUCUGCAGGACCAGUGGAUUAAGCUUCCCAAAUCCUCUCUGAUCCGGAGUCUCGGAUCUUAAAAGACAUGCCCUGCUUCUUUCCCUGUUCCCAGCCCUGCACAGUCACACAGACCCUGCAGCACGCAACAGCCAGGUCCAUCAAGUCCAUUAGGCCAAUGACCACCGUGGUGGACACAUCAUCAGUGUAAUCCCCACCAUCAAGCUUCCCCUCGCCGGCCCUCCCUGAGUCCAUGCCCUUUGCCAAGGGCCUUCCUUUCUUGCCACCCACUGACCGAGCAGUGGAUUUCUCCACCCCUGGACUUUGGGUCCAGCCAUGCAGCUUGCUCAGGGGAGCAGAAUGAAGGGAAAUGGCUGUGCACCAUGAUGACCCCGGGGCCUCGAAUGUGCCCUCACGCCCCUCUGCUGUUGCCAAGAUGAGCUUCCCCCACGUGGCUGCCCGCUUGCCUGGGCCUCCGAAGGCACACACGGGAAGAGCGAGCCAGGAGGGUGCUGCCCAAGGGACCGGCCUGCGUGGUCACUGCCCAGGCACCGAGAGGCUCCAUCAGUCCUGCUCUGGGCACCUGGGUUCUGGGGAGGGGACUUGUGACACACUGAAAGCCAGGACAGCACAUACUGUGGUCUAA